GCAUAUCAAUAAGCGGAGGAAAAGAAACCAACAGGGAUUGCCCUAGUAACGGCGAGUGAAGCGGCAACAGCUCAAAUUUGAAAUCUGGCUUAGGCCCGAAUUGUAAUUUGCAGAGGAUGCUUUUGAUGCGGCGCUUUCUGAGUUCCCUGGAACGGGACGCCAUAGAGGGUGAGAGCCCCGUAUAGUUAGACGCCAAGUCUCUGUAAAGCUCCUUCGACGAGUCGAGUAGUUUGGGAAUGCUGCUCAAAAUGGGAGGUAAAUUUCUUCUAAAGCUAAAUACCGGCCAAAGACCGAUAGCGCACAAGUAGAGUGAUCGAAAGAUGAAAAGCACUUUGAAAAGAGGGUUAAAAAGCACGUGAAAUUGUUGAAAGGGAAGCGCUUAUGACCAGACUUGUGCCUUGUGGAUAAGCCAGCGUUCUCGCUGGUGUUUCUUCUCGGCUCAGGCCAGCAUCGGUUUUCUUAGGGGGAUAAAAGUUUUAGGAACGUAGCUCUUUCGGGAGUGUUAUAGCCUAUUGCACAAUAUCCCUAGGGGGACCGAGGACCGCGCUUCGGCAAGGAUGCUGGCGUAAUGGUUAUCAGCGACCCGUCUUGAAACACGGACCAAGGAGUCAAGCAUUAGGGCGAGUGUUUGGGUGUAAAACCCGCACGCGUAAUGAAAGUGAACGCUGGUGAGAGCUUCGGCGCAUCAUCGACCGAUCCUGAUGUAUUCGGAUGGAUUUGAGUAAGAGCCUUACCGCUUGGACCCGAAAGUUGAUGAACUAUGCCUGUAUAGGGUGAAGCCAGAGGAAACUCUGGUGGAGGCUCGCAGCGGUUCUGACGUGCAAAUCGAUCGUCAAAUAUGGGCAUGGGGGCGAAAGACUAAUCGAAUCA
rnacentral:rRNA from 1 species